rnacentral:rRNA from 1 species
CUCUAAUUAAUGUUAAUUUAGAGUUAUUUCGGUAUUGAUUUUUAAUUUUAGGGUGAAAUCAGAAAUUAUUUUUAUUUAAACUCUAAAUUUUAAGAUUUAGUAAACAAACCAGAUUAGUACCUGGUUAGAUAAAAUUUAAAAGAGCAGGAGUAAAGUUAUAUUUAAACUGUAAGAAUAUUGGCAGGUUUUUAAAUUAUCUUUGGAGGCUGAGUAGUGAUUGAGAGCCCUCAUUUUCAACUUUUUCUUUAGGCGCAUGUAUGAUCGUUUAUUUUAUUCUUAAGGAUUGUAAUUUUAGUCUUUGCUAUAAAAAUAGAUAGAUAUCUGGCUUAUGAGAAAGAUUUAAUUUGGCCUACAAUAAUUUAAUUUUUGGAUUCUAGUUUUAGAGGCUAGAUGAAAUUGUAAAAGACAGUAAGUUGCUUUUAAUGGGUAGCUGAAGUUUAUUUAAAAACGGUACAAAUCAUCCAUCAAUUGCCUAU